UACGGAGGGUGCAAGCGUUAUCCGGAUUCACUGGGUUUAAAGGGUGCGUAGGUGGGCUGGUAAGUCAGUGGUGAAAUCUCCAGGCUUAACUUGGAAACUGCCAUUGAUACUAUCAGUCUUGAAUACCGUGGAGGUCAGCGGAAUAUGUCAUGUAGCGGUGAAAUGCUUAGAUAUGACAUAGAACACCAAUUGCGAAGGCAGCUGG
rnacentral:rRNA from 1 species